rnacentral:lncRNA from 1 species
UGUAGUUGAGGAAGGCUCGAUGAAUAUGAAGAGGUGUUGGUGUAGAUGUCGAGCAAGAGGAAAAGUUGCAUCAGGAUCAGUCCUAGAAGAAUGAUGCUAUGGAUUCAAUAAACAGUUGUUUUUGCCUAUAUUGCCUACGACAUUGUAGCCUGAAAGAUUUUUUAAAUGCUUCAUUAUCAUCUCCAAUGGUUUUUUCCCCCUAUUUCCUGUUAUCCGGGACAAUCUGUUUGUACUUAAAUACCUAGAAAUUGGAGAUUGCACCAAUUGGAAUAUGAACUACUUUUACAAGUGUGAUUGAC